GUAGUAUUCCCUCCGUCCCAAAAUUCUUGUCUUACAUUUGUUUAGAUACGGAUGUAUCUAACACUAAAAUGUAACUAGAUACAUCCGUAUUUAGACAAAUUUAAGACAAGAAUUUUGGGACGGAGGGAGUACAAA
rfam:Triticum aestivum genome assembly, contig: Triticum_aestivum_CS42_TGACv1_scaffold_030858_1BL